AUACGGAGGAUGCGAGCGUUAUCCGGAUUUAUUGGGUUUAAAGGGUGCGUAGGCGGACGAUUAAGUCAGCUGUGAAAUGCCCGCGCUUAACGCGGGAAGUGCAGUUGAUACUGGUUGUCUGGAGUGCCGUUGCCGUGGGGGGAAUGUGUAGUGUAGCGGUGAAAUGCAUAGAUAUUACACAGAACGCCGAUUGUGAAGACACCUCACGAGGCAGUAACUGACGUUGAGGCACGAAAGCGUGGGGAUCAAACAGGAUUAGAAACCCGGGUCGCCCACGCCAUAAACGAUGAUGACAAACAUGUGGCGAUAGACCGCCGUUGGCCAAGAGAAAGCGAUAAGUCAUGCACCUGGGGAGUACUACCGCAAGGUUGAAACUCAUAUGAAUAGACGGGG
rnacentral:rRNA from 1 species